UUUUGGGGUUUUGGGAAGUUCAACCUCCAUGGGAGCUUGAGGAACACUCCUUGCUUGGUUGUGUGACCAUUGGUGGAUUGAGACAUUUGGACCAACCGUGAGUGAUCAACCAUUGGAGCAAGCUAUGGAGCUUGAAUAGCUCAUUGGAAUUGGUGUUGGUUUUGGAGUAGAGUAUUGUUGACAUUGGUGAAGAACAAAGGUCGACUGAAGCAUUGAGGUAAGGAUGCUGCAGGAGCCUCUGGUGGCAAGUGGCCAUAUCUGGAUUAUGCAUGAAAUAUGGCAUUUCUUUGAGUUUAUGCAUGCC